rnacentral:rRNA from 1 species
AGCUCCAAUAGCGUAUAUUAAAGUUGUUGCAGUUAAAAAGCUCGUAGUUGAAUUUCUGAUAGAAGGGAGCGGUUCCGCAUUCUUGCGGAUACUGGCUCGUCUUCCGUCAUCCUUGGGCUUAGUCUCGCUGAUAUUAACUUAUCGGCGUGUACGAUGCCCAUCGUUUACUGUGAGCAAAUUAGAGUGUUCAAAGCAGGCAUUUUGCCAUUGAAUAUAUUAGCAUGGAAUAAUAAGAUAGGAUUUCACGAUUUUAUUUUGUUGGUUUGCGUUGUGAAAUAAUGAUUAAGAGGGACAGUUGUGGGUAUUCGUAUUCAGAUGUCAGAGGUGAAAUUCUUAGAUUAUCGGAAGACGAACGACUGCGAAAGCAUUUACCAAGGAUGUUUUCA